ensembl:lncRNA
GUAGGAGUCAGACCAUGUUUCUUUUGAGCUGAAAAACAUUACACCAGUCCGAAGAGGGAGAGAGGAAAGAGGGGAACGUGAGGAGAAAGGUCAGGAAGAACCAGCCUCAAGAUACCAUGGAGCUUUUAUAAAAGAGCAAGUACCUCAAGAACCAGGGAAUUCCAGACUACAUUAUAGAUCAUGAUGCAGCUGCUCAUCUCAUCAUCUGUAAAGGGGAGAUUCCACAUAUAUUUCUAAAGCAGUUCUACAAGAGAGUUGUGUUUGGGUGCAACAAACUUCACUGUCUAAGCCUUCCAUGUUCCCAGACCCUUGAAUAUUCCAUAAAACGUUGGUGUCUGAAAACAGUUGCUACGACUGUCAACUGAAAUUGUUCUUCAACCAACACCUUGUCUUUAUGGCCACAUUGCUAAAAGCAACCUGUCAGCAGCACAUCAGGAGCAGCUGCAGUGUCUACAUUGGUUCCAAUCACUUAUGUGAUUGUUGUGCACUCAAAAGCAUAAAAGUGUUUGUUACACUGCACAAACCUAACACACGAAAUCGAUCUGGGAGGAUUUAGGAGCCUUUUCUGGCACAGUCCGUAGAGACCCAAGUCUGUCUUGUUAUAAGACUGAGUAUACAGUUAAACCUGUCUCAUAUUUGUUAUUAUUAUAUUAAACUUAAUUCCUUCACUUGUUUAAGUUACCUCCCCUACAUCAUUCACUCCUUAGUUUCCUUGUAGGUAUAUGUGCAAGUUAAGGAAAAGCAUACCAAAAGAAGAUGACUUUGUGACACUUAAGCUGUGUCCACACAGGAAAUGAUUUACAGUGGUGCAGCAAACAAAUAUUACCAAUAAAAAUGCAGUAGAAUGGUGAUUAAUAUAUAACAGGGUAGUAAAUACGUUAGAGAAUUGCCUAGGCAACCAGAGGCUGGAAUUGUUACAGACCAAUUGUCAGCUUCAAAUGUGAUGCCCGACAAGCAAAUCACUUCCUGUGUGGAAGCACCUUGAUGCAUGGUAAGUACUGAGUACUGCUGUGCAAAGAUUUCAGAUAUGCAACCCCCCAC